GUACUCUUGACUCCGGUUGAUCCUACCGGACCCGACUGCUAUCGGAGUGGGGCUAAGCCAUGCGAGUCGAACGUUUCCCAACUGUGGGAAGCGUGGCGAACGGCUCAGUA
rnacentral:rRNA from 2 species